UUUGUCAGGUAAAGACAUGUUUUGUUAAGUUAGGUUCCUUCUGAGUUAAUCCUUGUCUUUUGUUUCAUCAUUAUAAGGUUUCAAUACAAUGCAAUUAUUUUGCAUCAAAUAAGCUAGGAGUUGAGACUUAUCAGGUUUCAAUGCAGUCUGUAAUCACUAGCAAAAUUGGCUGUUAAAAGUAGUCUUGGUGUGUUUUUGGUUGUGAAAUUGACUAACAAUGAUGUGUUUGCACUCACUUCUCUAAAUUGUAGCUUUGAUAAAUCACAGUGGGAUGCAAAAAAUGUAAGAUGUGAUGAACCUGCAUCCAAAUAUACGUUUUUUGACGAUCUUGCUCCAAAAUGAGAUUUUGCUCCAAAACAAGAUCUUGCUCCAAAAUGAGAUUUUGCUCCAAAACAAGAUCUUGCAUGCAAUUAAAAUCGGAGGGGUGAGUAGGAUUGCAUAAUCGUAUGAUCGUAAGAUUUAAAUCUAGAUCUCGAUAACUUGCAUGAUACAGUAUUUUGAAGAAAAGUUCCUGUUUCCAUUUCUAAUAGGUCGGGCAUGACCUAGCUAGGAAAUUCGAGUCUAGAAACUCUCAAAAUCGCACACAAUUAUGUGAUUUUGCAAUCUUGUUACAGUUUUUUGACGAUCUUGCUCCAAAAUGAGAUUUUGCUCCAAAACAAGAUCUUGCAUGCAAUUAAAAUCGGAGGGGUGAGUAGGAUUGCAUAAUCGUACGAUCGUAAGAUUUAAAUCUAGAUCUCGAUAACUUGCAUGAUACAAUAUUUUGAAGAAAAGUUCCUGUUUCCAUUUCUAAUAGGUCGGGCGUGACCUAGCUAGGAGAUUCGAGUCUAGAAACUCUCAAAAUCGCACACAAUUAUGUGAUUUUGCAAUCUUGUUACAAGUUUUUGACAUCUUGCUCCAAAACGAGAUCUUGCUCCAAAACGAGAUCUUGCUCCAAAACAAGAUCUUGCAUGCAAUUAAGAUCGGAGGGGCAAGAACAGAAAAACAAAUAUGGUCAUGAGGGUAAUCCACGCAGCAAAAAAAAGAAAGAUUCCAAACUUGAAUGAGCAGAGAAGAG